AACGAACGCUGGCGGCGUGCUUAACACAUGCAAGUCGUGCGUGAAAGGGGCUUCGGCCCUGAGUAAAGCGGCAGACGGGUGAGUAACACGUGGGUAACCUGCCCCUUGGCGGGGGAUAACCACUCGAAAGGGUGGCUAAUACCGCAUAAGAACACGUACCAUAGGGACUGGGGUAAAAGGCUUAGGCCACCGAGGGAUGGGGUCGCGUCCGAUUAGCUUGUUGGUGGGGUAACGGCUCACCAAGGCGACGAUCGGUAGCUGGUCUGAGAGGAUGAUCAGCCACACUGGUACUAAGACACGGUCCAGACUCCUACGGGAGGCAGCAGUGGGGAAUUUUGCGCAAUGGGCGAAAGCCUGACGCAGCAACGCCGCGUGAGUGAUGAAGGCCUUCGGGUCGUAAAGCUCUGUCAGAGGGGAAGAACCGCCUUGUGGCUAAUAUCCAUGAGGUCUGACGGUACCCUCAAAGGAAGCACCGGCUAACUCCGUGCCAGCCGCCGCCGUAACAC
rnacentral:rRNA from 1 species